GCCACCACUGCUGAGAAUACAGCGAAAACCUCCUGAGGAAGAUGUGGUGUUAGGAGAUGAAGGCCUGGGAGGAGCAGGUAAGCAGGCUACUCUGGAGACACAGCAGGAUACAUUUCCUCAGCCUUACUCUCCAGUGUCUCUUUCUUUUUUUAUGAGAGCAGCUGAAAACGUGACCACAUGGGGUCAGCCAGAAAAGACAUUGCCAGCUGUCUCCUUCCUGUGGCAAAAAGUUUCAAUGAUCAUAAGCCUGUCCGUGGCCCAUAAGCAUAUGAAAGCCAGCUACAAAAGUCCAGCACUUUUGAACUGGGGACAUCUCUUCUUGAGGAUGGAUUUCACUGGACUGUGAGGUGCUGAUGUUAAGGAAUACAGAAUUGCUGCUUCUUCCUCCUUAGGAGGUUUUCUGUGCACAACUGGAGGUCUUGCCUUUUUAGCCUAUGCCUAAGGACAAAGCCUCACAAUGAUAUGCCCUGGACAACACCAACUUGGAUGUAAAGCAACAGAUAAUAUAUCCUGGACUCCUGGACCCCUGACCGGUUAGCAGCAUAGGCUGACUCAGCCCCUUCAUCUCAUAAUAAUGAAUUUCUUAGAUCCCAGUGAUAGUGUCCUGGUGGAGUUGACUUGUACAAUCACCACUCCUUUCAAAAUCAGGGACUGGAGAUGUAAUUCAGUGGUAAAGCACUUGCUUUGCAUGGGGGAGGUCCUGGGUUCAAUCCCUAGCACUAUAAAUAAUAAUAAUAAUAGUAAUCAUCAUCAUCAUCAUCAUCAUCAUCAUAAAUUAAAUGCAUCCCAAUGGCAACUGAAAUAAUACUUUCUGUGUGAAAGGAACCAUUAUAUAGUAUGUGGCUAUCACCCGAAUCCUCACAAACAAUAUUAUAAAUAAAAAGAAUUUUGUUUCUGUAAUUAGAAAUAGGAAUACCUUUAAUUUUUGUUUCUUGUGAGACACCUCUACUUCUGCUGGAGCCGGCGGUGGUUUCUGAGGUUCAUAGAAGGGGGCUGUGGAUGGAGGUGGAGCAAUGUUAACUCUUCCAGAAAGAGAUUGAGGCACUGGGUGGAUGUUGUUGGGUUUGCACCUUGAAAGUCAAAUGGCUCUAUGGCCCCCCAUCUGCUCACUCUAUGUCUUUCCUAUAUGCAGUCAAUGAAACAUCUGUGACCCUGGCUUCAAACAGAAAGCCAAAAGCAGGGGGUGGGGGUGGAGAGCAAUAGCACCAGGUCAGCCUGCCUUAUGCAAGCUGCCGAGAUGAAAGUUUAAAAGCAGACAAAUCAGAGCAAUGUUUCUCUUCUAAAAUGUUUUACUGUAAGAUUUCCUUAAACAACCAGAUUGCCACAUUCAUGUGCAGGAUAAUUGAUAUAAUUGUAUAUUGUGGACUAUUAUAAAAGAUGAUUCUCAAACAUUUAAAUGACUUGGAGGAGUGAGACAAGUGAAUGGCACCAUAAGGGUUAUUUUAAUUAUUUAUAUUAUUUUAUUAUAGUUAAUAAUUCUUGCAUCUCAAUAAUUCCAUAGUUAAUAGUUCUGGCAUCUCAAUUGUACUCAACCCCCUUUUCUGUCAAAAGAAUUGAUAGAUGUCAAUAAAAAGCAAUGUGUUGGUAAAGGAUAUCUAUAUAUAAUUUGGAAGUUCACUUUGAGAACUCAGUUCUCACAUUACCUCAAGUGGACUACAAGAAAGUUUUCUGCCAUCUUUCAAAAAUUUGCAGGAAUUCCAGAGCAUUGAAACUCACCUCCAUACAAGGGAUUUAUUUGUUGCAUCUGGCCCUCUCUGGUUUCCCUCUUCCAGGAAGCCUCCCUGGGACUUGUGUUCCAUCCCCCACCCUGGCCCCCCUCCCCGCACCUGGUCUGUGCGCCAUGGCAUCUGCAGACCCCACUUUAAGCCUAAGUGGUUUGCCUUGACUUCUGCACUAGCCUGGUCUGUUGUCCAUUUUGGGCUUUAUUCCCAUGUGAAAAUAAGAUAGAAGCUGACAGGUUUGCAACUUUUAAAGAAUUUUUGUCAGAUUUUAAUAGAAUUUGAUAGGAUAAGGAUCUUGAAGAUUAAUAAUUCCACGUGUAUAAUCCACAGUUGAUGGGAUCUCUAAGAAUUUUCUUAGUUACCUAAAUAAAUGCUAUCACUAAAUU
rnacentral:lncRNA from 1 species